ACGAACGCUGGCGGCGUGCCUAAUACAUGCCAGUAGAACGCUGAAGAGAGGAGCUUGCUCUUCUUGGAUGAGUUGCGAACGGGUGAGUAACGCGUAGGUAACCUGCCUUGUAGCGGGGGAUAACUAUUGGAAACGAUAGCUAAUACCGCAUAACAAUGGAUGACACAUGUCAUUUAUUUGAAAGGGGCAAUUGCUCCACUACAAGAUGGACCUGCGUUGUAUUAGCUAGUAGGUGAGGUAACGGCUCACCUAGGCGACGAUACAUAGCCGACCUGAGAAGGUGAUCGGCCACACUGGGACCUGGACACCGCCCAGGCUCCUACGGGAGGGAGCAGGAGGGAAUCUUCGGCAAUUGGGGCAACGCUGACCGAGCAACGCCGCGGUAGGGAAGAAGGUUUUCGGAUUGGAAAGCUCUGUUGUAAGUCAAGGACGAGUGUGAGAGUGGAAAGUUCACGCUGUGACGGUAGCUAACCAGAAAGGGACGGCUAACUACGUG
rnacentral:rRNA from 1 species